rnacentral:rRNA from 1 species
AAGGUAGCAUAAUAGUUUGCCUUUUAAUUGGAGGCUGGAAUGAAUGGAUAGACGAGAGUAUGACUGUCUCUCUUCUACAAAUAAAAAUUAAUAUUCAAGUGAAGAAGCUUGAAUAGUGUAAAAAGACAAGAAGACCCUAUUGAGCUUUAUAUAUUAGAAAAAUUAGGUGGAGUAAUUAGCAGCAUUUUCAAGGGUAUGUUUAGUUGGGGCGACUUGAGAAGAUAAUAGAUCUUCUUUGUGUAUAAUGGUGAUAAAUUUUAAUCCACUUAUGUGAGUAGAUAAUUAGCUACCAUAGGGAUAACAGGCUAAUCUUUCUUGAGAGUCCGUAUUGAAAGAAGGGUUUGGCACCUCGAUGUUGGCUUAGGAUAACAAUUAAAUGCAGAAGUUUAAUAGAGUGGGUUUGUUCAACCCUUAAAUUCCUACGUGAUC